AAGUAACCAAUGGAAAUUUCAGAGGAAAUUUAAACCCCAGAAAAUUCUGUAACUGGGCUCUUGAGCCACUUGCUGGGGCCUGCUGCCGCCCUGUGGAGUGUGCUUUCGUUUUCAAUAAAUCUCUGCUUUCGUUCCUUCAUGCUUUCCUUGCUUUGUGUGUUCAUUUUGUCCAAAUCUUUGUUCAAGACGCCAAGAACCUGGACACCCUCCACCGGUAACAUAUUUUGGCGAGCCAGACAAGAGUAGUAUGAUGCCUCUGGCUUCCCUCUAUCACACGUCUUCUUUUCGAGUAAAGGUUUUUCAUAAAUGUGAGCGUGGAAGAAGAAACCAGUUAAAUAUGGAACUUCACACCAGGACACAAAAGAUGGUGUCAGAAGCGGAUCCGAAGUGGAACUUUUAGUGACCCUCAGGAGCACUGAAUGAACAUGCAAGGAACCUGCAGGACCCACUUGUGUCCAUUGAUCUCUGGGAGCAGCUGGGAUAAGCUCCUUUUCGGAUUUCAGAGCUCCAUGGACUUGUGUCUUGAGAUCCCUGAGUUUCUUUGAGCAAAUUUCUGAUCCAAAAUGGGUUUGGCAUCAUGGCAGAAACAGGACUGGGUCCACGAAUGGAUUUGAUCCAGGAAUGAACUGGCUUGGAUCCAGUCAGAGGUCUCUUACAUCUGACUGGGUCAGAAAGGAACUGGUAGUAAGCAGUAAUAUUGCAGAGGAUGGUGUGGCAAGCUGAGUCACUAAGGCUGCUCAGGGAAAGGGAACCCAGAAUCUUGGCAUGCCGGCAAAAGGCCCAUGGUUCACUGAGGACAACUCCUUUGCAAUCUAGAACCCAAAGAUUGGAUCUUCUGAGAACAUCAGAGAAAGACUGUCCUUGCCAUCCACACUACAGCAAAGCUUUGGAGCCUUGAACCUUGGGUUCAUGAUCUUACAACUGAGAAGGGCCCCUCCACACUCCUGAACUGUACAACCAUUGAAACUCUUAAGGUAAAAUUAACUAGGAAAGUUUAUCUCCUUAAGAAGAUGGCAUCCUUGAUGUGAACAGCUUUUCCCAAGAUCCUGGAUCAAAACGUCUACUAUCACGAGACUCUUAUAUUUGAAUAUAUUUUCCGGUUUAUGCCUUUAGGAACAAUUGAAAUGAAAGGGGGAUCUAUUAUGUGCACUUAUAGGGUAUACUUUUAUUUGUGAAGGAUUUUGCAUCCAGCCUUAUAUGAAUAACCUUGUACUUUAAUAGAUAAAAGAUGAAGGCUCAAUGUAGGUGAGAAAAUGUAGUGGUACAUAUGUUGCCUCAUAAUCAGUCAAAACUCUUCUUAACCCACAUAAUGGAUUAAAGAGAAUAUUGCCAGGAGGCCUUCGCUUUUCUAAAAUGACAUCAUUUGUUAGGUCCUUUUUCCAUAGUUUAGUAUAAAAGAGGCAAUAAUUAGAAAUGUCACCCUCAUAAUAGGCUCUACAGCAAAUUCUACUUUAAAGGCUAUUGUUACACAACAGACUUUAAAUUAUCUUGUAAAAGUUAUGCUAAAUAAUAGAAUUGGCCAAACAGAAAAGUACCUGUGCAGUUGCUGACACCUGUGGCCUAUGGAGAAAUACAUCAAAUGUAGAUUAUACAAUUUCAGUUGUAGGGGAUUAAUGAAAAGACCACCUAGUCAAGCAAGUAGGCUCUUCAUAUAGCUCAUUCUUUAAUCUAUUUAAUUUUACAUGGUUUGGUUUAUGGGGACCCUGGGUAAGGAGCACACUCCAAAUUUGUUAUUAUUCUCCCAGUACUCAUAAUGAUAGUCUCCCUGAUGUGCUAUAUUCUCUUAAAGGUUUUAAAUGUUUGCAUGCAGCCAUCUCUAGAACAUCAAAUGGUCUCUAUUCAACCAGAAUGACAAAAGCUGAAAGAAAUGUGUGACCCUGAGGAUAUCGUAACCUACGAAUGAUGUGCUGAGACUGGAAACCCUAAAUGAUGUUACUGAGAAUGGCACUAAGGCCUUAAGUUUUGGUCACACUGUCACCUAAGUGAGAACCUGGCUGAAAAGGGAGAAUUUUUAAACAACAAAAUUAGAGGAAGCCACUAUUUUGGACUGAGCUCAUGCACUAGGCCCCAACAAACGAAACCAAGCUAAAAUGGAGUCACUCAUCCUAAAUGUGACAUAAUCAAACCAAGGCUUUAAGAACACAGAUAGAUGCUAGAACAGACUACAUUUUGUUUUUCUCCUGUAAACAGGAUGUCUAUCAUAAGGAGGUACCGUCUACUCAGUCCUUAUUCUCUCCUUGCAAAACCCACUUUUCUACUGUUUCCCAGUGGGUUUCAAACCAUAUAAUACAUUUAUGAUAGUGAUAUUAACAUCAAUGACUAAGGUUUUGGUCAAUCUCUCAAAAUUGAGAAAAUGACCAAAAGAGGGAAAUGAUUGCUAAAGCAAACUAAAUAUGGCCUGGGAAGAACUCCAUAGUCUUAUAUUUGAGUUCUUGCAGAUGAACUGUAACUUAGCUUAAUAGUCAGACAAAACUGAAAACCUAACUUAAUAGUAUGCGUCUGUAACAAUGGCUGAGUGUUCGCUAAUCCCAGCGGCCAUACUUCAACCACUCAUAGACUGCUGAAAGUUCAAAGUGCAUUCAAAUAAGGCAAAAACGGAGCUUAACCAGCCUCACUGUUUCUGUAUCUCACUUCCGAUUCCUGUAUGUCACUUUACCUUUUUUGUCUAUAAAUGUGUUCUGACCACGAGGCACCCCAGGUCUCUGUGAAUCUGUUGUAAUUCUGGAGGUGCCUGAUUCGCCAAUCAUUCAUUGCUCAAUUAAACUCCUUUAAAUUUAACUCAGCUGGACUUUUCCUUUUAUCAGGUUGAAUUUUACAUAUCUACUUUAGAUUUUAAUUUCUUCUAUAAAUUAAAAUCUAAUCUUCCAUAAUUUCUGAUAAAAUGUUUGUUAAAUGAACUCAAUGCAUUGGACAAAAAUUUCCUGUUGCUUUUCUUUCAAAGUACAUAAAUUGAUGCUACUUUUUCCACCUUUCUCACAUUUUCUCUGUCCCAAUCUUACACUGGAGGUUCAAUAGUCUUCUUCAUGCCUCAAGUUCUUUCUCUUGUAAUAUGAAAGGCAUGUGGCCACUUUCCUUUUCUAAUUCUUUCAUAAAUCUAAACAUUUUCACUACCUAUUGGUUACUAUGCUCACCAUCUGGGUGAAGGCAUCAUUUGUACACAAAAUCUAUAAAAUAUACUAUUUACUUAUGUAAAAAACCUAAACAUGUACCUGCUGAACCUAAAAUAAAAGUUGAAAAAGAAAAAUAAAUAAAUAAUACCUUCCCAGAAUAUUGCCUAUAGGAACAAGUCUAAAUUCCUUAAUACAGAGUAAAAUGGUAAUAAAAUUCUUGCCCUGAUUUUCUUUCUUAGGCCUAUGUCAUUUCAACACUCCCCAUCACCAUUCUUCCCCAAUCUCUUCCAUUUUUUGAGUCUAAAAUCCUUAAUACAUUGAAUUUUUGUUCAAUAUUUGUUAUAUGCCCAAAACUAUGCUAAGCUGCUGGACUCGUGCUCUUUCACAAUUCCUUUUCUGUUCCUUUCAGACUAGUGAAAUGAUACUGAUUUUUAAUGAUCUGUCUUUUCUUGGAAAUUUCCUAUUUCCAAAUGUCAAAAAAAGAACUUAUAAUUUUUGUCUCUCCAUUUCCAUAACACUUAUCAAUGUCACUGACAUAGCCCUAAUAAUUAUGAGAUGUACAUUGUUAGUUACACACAUUUCUUGUUUUCCUACUUUUGAUGUCUUUAAGGUCAGAGAUUGUAUUUUACUCGUUUGUAUUCCUAUCAGAAAAAAAACUGUGGCUUACAUGUAAUAUACAUUCAGUAAUUGUUUGAAUGAAAAAUGUAUUAAAAUAGUAUGAGUAUCCAAGUUGGUGAUUCAAUUUAGUUAAUCUCUUCUGAUACCCCUACCCCAAAAAGGCAUAUGUAAAAGUGCAUAAAAUUGUGUGUAUGAAUAUGUAGAUCAAUAGAUAGAAGCAUCUGUGAACACAAAUAAGAAAUUUAGGAAAUGAUUAUCUUAGAAACUCUUUAGCAUCAAAUCUUAUUUAUUUAUUUAUUUAUUUGCUAUAGCUUUUGGGGAAAAGUUGGAUUUUUGUUACAUGGAUAAGUUCUCUUGUAGUAAUUCCUGAGAUUUUGGUGCACACUGUACCCAAUCUGUAUUCUUUAUUCCUCACCCCUCUCCCCGCAUUCCCCUUGAGUCUCUGAAGUCCCUUAUAUCAUUCUUACGCCUUUGCAGCCUCAUAACUUAGCUCCCACUUAUAAGUGAGAUCAUACAAAAUUUGGUUUUCCAUUCCUGAGUUACUUCACUUAGAAUAACUGUUUCCAGCUCCAUCCAGGUUGCUGAAAAUGCCAUUAUUUCAUUCAUUUUUAUGGCUGAGUAGUAUUCCAUGGUGUAUAUAUGCCACCUUUUCUUUAUUUACUCUUUGGCCAGUGGACAUUUAGGCUGAUUUCAUAUUUUUGCAAUUGUGAAUUUUGCUACUAUACACAUGUAUGUGCAAGUGUAUUUUUCAUACAAUGACUUCUUUUCCUCUGGGUAGAGACCCAGUAGUGCGAUUGCUGGAUGAAAUGCUAGUUCUACUUCUAGUUAUUUAAGGAAUCUCCAUACUGUUUUCCAUAUGGGUGGUACUAGUUUACAUUCCCAACAGCAGUAUAAAAGUGUUCCCUUUUCACCAUAUUCACGCUAAUAUUUAUUAUUUUUUAUUUUUAAUUAUGGUCAUUCUUGGAUCUCAUUGUAUUUUCAAUUUGCAUUUCCCUGGUAAUUAGAGAUGUUGAGCAUAUUUUCAUGUUUGUUGGCCAUUUGGAUAACUUUUUCUGAGAAUUGUCUGUUCAUGUCCUUUGCCCACUUUUUAAGUUUAAUUUAAUACUAAUCCUACUAUUAUAUAUAUAUAUAUAAG
rnacentral:lncRNA from 10 species